rnacentral:tRNA from 1 species
ACCUCGAUGGUGGAAUAGGUAAACGCAUUAGAUUUAGAAUCUACUUAAAUGAGGGUUCAAGUCCCUCUCGAGGUA